UUGCUGUGUUCGUGUUGCCUAAGGGAACCUACUAUUAGACCAAACUCUCCCCAGGCGUGUGCCUUGCUCACAGGCUAACUGAUCACUUGAUGUCACCUCUCACUUUUAGCAGGCAGGCAGAACACAGGCACUUGAUAGGACAUGCUGUGCUCCAGCUCCGUGAGACCUGUUCAUCUCCUAUCCUCUAACAACAGAGAACUAUUUAUAGUGCUUCGGUCUGGAGUGGCAUCAACAGUUUUCAUAUGUGCUUCCAUUUGUGUGACAGACAGCACAGAGGUGAAUCUGAACAACUUGCCCAUUGUCACUCACCACACUGAGCACAUCUUGCCUGAUUUACAUGACACAGGAAACCACAGAAUGAUUUGGGAAGUACUGCAGAACUGCUCUCUGCAAAACUGGUUUGAAGUGAGAAAAGAAAAAUAUUACAUCCAUUGGCAAUUUGCAGCAGCUAUGCAUGAGAAAAAUAGCGUUAGUUGUAAGUGUGUCACACCGACAUCUUGUGGUGAAACAGGAAAACAGCUGCUCAAAUAAAAGACUCCAGUCUGAAAUACUGGC
rnacentral:lncRNA from 1 species